rnacentral:ncRNA from 1 species
UAAAACAAAAUGAUUCGGUGAGUAAUUUGCGGCCACCUGCAGAGAAUCGACGGUUGAUGCAAGUCGAAGCUGGCAACAAAUGAAGAUGGCCGAUAAUUGGUUGGUGUAAAUGACGUCCACGAACAUCAAACGGAAUGGUCUCCGUUACCAGACACACCACUUUAUUGAGAAAGAUUUAAAAUGGUUGAUAAGGCUUGUUGCGUAAUCAACAAGCAAAUCCAGAAUGGUACCGCGAAAAAACGCUUCUGCU